UUUUUUUCCCCUGACCAUUGCCAAUAACAACUUGUAACUAACUCCCCUUAGAUGAUAAUAAAUAUCCAUAACCCAUCUUUUGGGAAUGUGGGUGUCAUUCUCUAGACUGCUUCCUGCUGUUUGGAAGUGCUGGUAAUCUGUGGGGGGAGCUUUGAGAAAAUCAAGAUAAUUGUUAAGUCUUGACUGGAAUGUCCUGUGAGGCUGGAUCAUUUCAGCCAGCAGCCAUCAAACUGUUCUGGAUGCUGGAUUACCUGGACCAUCCAUUUUCAUUGGUAUCUGGUCACCUUGCUCUGGAAAUACAUAAACAUACAUGCUUUAAUACAAUUAUAAAUUGCAUUGUACACAAGUUGGACAAAGAUGAUCUUUUAAAUACACAUCACAUGUCUUGUAGAUCUUCCUUGAUCAAACCUGAUUAACUUGGAACGAAUCCAUAGCCUUUUAUUUUCUGUGGAAAUAAAAGCAGAAACUUUCAAAGUAACUUUUUUGCUUCCAUUUUGAAGUGAAGGCAUUUGAAAAAUAUAUAGGUUGAUUUAAUCCAGCAGCUUUUGUAAUCAUAUGUCUCUUAGCAGCUAUUGCUCCUUCCUCACAGUCAAAAAAUUCAAAGACAACGCAAUAACAUAGAGUAUCCAGACUCUGCCUAUUUUCCAUUUUUAUGAGCUUUUUUAUAUAUUACUUUGCUCCCUUUUAAAUGACUUUAUUAUUUUAAAACUUUCUUUAAAGAUGAUUUAUUCAUUUACUAUGUUUAUGGUGUUAUGCCUGCAUGGAUGCCUACAUGCCAGAAGUGGGCACUAGAUCUCAUUAUAGAUGUUUGUAAGCCACCAUGUGCUUGCUGGGACUUAAACUCAGGACCUCUGAAAGAACAGCUAGUGCUCUUACCUCUGAGUCAUCUCUCCAGCCUGAAAAUCUAUGACUGUAAAUACUCUUUUCUCUUCUCUCUCCCAAGCCUAUGUAUAUUCAUAUGUUUUUGACACACUAACCCAUUCAGAGGCUUUUUUUUUUUUUUGCUGAGCAUCUGUAUUGCUUUCUGAUCACGUGAAAUGAAUCUUAAACUGGUAUGUCAGCCUCCACUGUAUCUUAGCUUAGUAUAUGGCAGUAGUGCAUGGUGGCUGGCUCUUCCCCCAGGCAGCUGCCAAGAGACACCUCUGUACUACUGCCCACAUGAGAGACUGCAGGACCCCACCAAGUUGCUUAGCUUAUGGUGUGCUGGCAUGGCUCAGGCUGGUGGCUCAAGUCCACAGGCAACAGUUGGGAGAUGCCUCCACACCACAGCCGUCAUGAAAGACAAGACUAGGAAGCUGUGUCUUACUCCGUUGCUGUGUCUAGAUCCCUUUCCCAGGCUUUCUCAGGUUCAAUGUGAUUGUAGGUGCUGAAUGUUUGGGCACCGUUUGUAGAUAGAAUUUUCCUUUCCUUCCAAUCUGCUUCCAAAUUACCACACAGCCUUAAUAUUAAUUAUAAAUGCUCAUCCAAUAGCUCAGGCUUGGCAAUUCUGAUGGUGUAGGCAAUAAAAAUGUGCAUUGUUCUUUGAGAGCUAAGUUUCACUUUGGCUACAGAGAAUUUAUAGUUUUGUGUUAAAUUGCUAGUGUAAAGAAAUUUACCUAAAGCAGGAGCUGAGAGAUCACUCAGGAGUGAGGACUUGAAUUCAUCCCCAAUAGCCACAGAACAACUGCUGGAUUUAAUGGGGGCAUGUGAGUCCCAGGCCAAAAAGAGGCCCUUGUCUCAAAAAACAAGUGGGUGAUAAGGAAUGCUACCCAGGGUUGACCUUCGACCUACAAAUUCAUGUGCACACAAUUUACAUGAAGUAGAGUACUGCAGGAUUUAAUUUUGUUGUACAACUUUUUUUUUUUAAAGACUUAUUUAUUGUGUAUACAGCAUUCCUUCCAUGUAUGCUUGCAUGCCAGAAGAGGGCACCACAUCUCAUUAUAGAUGGCUGUGAGCCACCAUGUGGUUGCUGGGAAUUGAACUCAUGACCUCUGGAAGAGCAGUCAGUGCUGUUAACCUCUGAGCCAUCUCUUCAGCUCCCUGUACAACUCUCCUCAUUAACGAUCAGGACCUUUAUCUUUGUAGAACUCUGAGUUAUAGGGGCGGGGGACACUAUACUCCUAUAGUCACAGAGGCAUAGGGUAGGGUGGUAAAUGGUGUGUUGGUUUUCCCUUGUGUUCGUAGAAAAGUGUGUACUGUGCUCUGAAGGAUAGUACCUCAUUCUUAAAGAUUUUUUUAUAAGAUGACCCUUCAGUCAACACCAUUAUCAGACUACUCUUAUGCUGCCAGGCCAGCAGUUGAGGCCUCUGAAGUGUGGUCUGAUCUGUGGGCAGUUAACAAUGGGCCCAUACUCUACCUCUUUGUGAGAUGAGAAUUCUGGUCUUACAAUGAUCAAACUGCUCUAACUUCUGUCAAUACUGCUUAAGAUCCAGAAGUGGAAAAGACACAUCUCUAGCUUUUCCAGAGUGGUAAACUUUAUAAUAUAGUCAGCUUACCACCAAACUGCUAGAUGGUCUCUCCAAGGAUGGCUAAGCCCAUUGUUAACAGGUAGAACAUGACACUAAAGCAGUGUUUGGCUCAGACUUCCUAAGUUGGUGCCCUUGUUUUAGGAGCAGGUUUGGUUUUGAUAGAGCCCACUAUCAGCACUCCAUUGAUGUUGAAAUUCCUACUGUGUAGGAAUGAGUCUUCCUGGUAGGCAUCGCAGUGUCAUGGCGAGGUCUUGAUGGCUUCAUGCCAGCCUACACCUCUGUUCUCAUCUAGCUCGUCAUUUGAAGUUUGAAAGGGAAGAGUUCCUUUCCAUAGGCUUAUUUCCCAGCAGCACUGUUAACAGGAAAGUUACAGAGUCUAGAAGCCACAGCCUUGAUGGAGGAAGUACACUUCAGGGGAUAGCUGUGUCCAACUUCCUGUUCUGUUUCAUGACUGGAUGCAUUCUGCCAGUUGAACUCAUACUUCUGCCACCACGCCUUCAUCCCCAUGAUGACUGUGUCCCCUCCGGAACUAAAAGCCAAAAAUAAACUUGGUUUUGACACAGCAACAGAAUAAAACCAAUCCAUCAUUUUAAGGCACACCAUUUGCUCUUCCCUGUGAAUGCACAUACAGAUUGGUAUUUCCUGAGCAUUUUGCCCUCUGUUGUAUGACAGGUGGAGUUUCCCAUGUGAUUAGGGUUUAUUUUCAGUGUGUUCCUCUCCAUAUUCUUCCUUUCCCUAGGCCUGAGUGAGCUCUGUCAUGUUGCUGGACACAUCUACCAGUGACAUUCAUUUCUUCUAGCUUUAUCUAAGAAGUACUCCCCUUUCAAUUUCGAUGGGUAACUGGAUCUGUGCUGUUUUAGUUUUUGAGAGUGUCUUCUAAUAGGUAGGCUGGCUUCAAUGUGAUUCUCCUGCCUCUUCCUCCCAAGGUCUAGAACUGCAGGCCCACAGCACUAUACCUGACCAGAUCUGUGGGUUUGUAUUGUUAAUUUUAGGAAACGUUGGUUGUUAUUGCUUCAGAUAUUCCUUUGUUGCCAUUAUAUUGUAAUGCCUUUGUAAUUAACUUUAGUAUAUUCACUUUGUCCCCUACUACAUUUUCCGACUGUUUUCCGUGUUGCUCACACUUACUAUACCAACUCUGUAUAUCCAUCAUACGUUUUCAGUUUUGUUGUUUAGCAACAGUCUCAUGUAGCCCAAGCUACCUCAAAUUCUGAAGCCAAAGAUAGCCUUCAACUUCCAAUCUUCCUAUCUUCAUCUCCCAGCGUUGGGAUUACAUAUGUGUGUGUGCCGCAGCACGUGUGUGGAUCAGAGGACAAUUCUCAGAAGUGAGUUCUCUCCAGCUACUUUGUGGGAUCCAGAGGCUGAACCCCUGUCAUCAGCCUACAUGAUGAAAAUCAAGCAAGAUGGCUUCCAGAGCAACUGAUUCGGUGCAUUCAGCAGAAGGACAACCGACCUGAGAACAACUUAGCUGACAACCACCCAGCAGGAGAAACGGAAUAAGAAGAGCUUGAGGAGGAACCAGUGAUCCAGCUUUCCCAGCCCCCACAGAGAGGAACGCCUGCGCCUGAUUCGGGACCUGCAGCUGCUGCCACUCUACACUGCAGGAUGCCAUUUUCUGCCUCCAGAGACUUCAGACAAAGAGACCCUGCUGAGAUGACCUGACUACAACGUCUGCAACUUGAAAAGGUUUGAACCUGUUGCUUUAGAACUAAGGUGCAGACUGAACAUUUGAGUGUUUUUAAUUUCUGGGACACAGAACUCAUUUUGAUUAAAAUAUUGAACCUAAUAACUAAGACCCAAGAUUUCCCCUCAGGGAAAGAAAGACUCAAAAUAAGGAAUGACUAAAACCACUCUUCACUUAAGAAGGGGGCAGACUAAGGGCUUAACAGCUGCCCAGAGACUGAAAGUGGUAUUUGAUAACAGCAAAUGUUAUUGUAUUCUUACUGGUAAUGACCUGAUAUUUACAACUGCUUAUGAAAUGAUGAGAAAAAUUGGUAUUGACAAAUGAUGCAACAAUGGUACUUACCAAAAGAAAUUUUAAAAAGUUGGUAUUGACUGACGAUACUAAAAAUUAUGUUAUGGAAAAAGAUAUUUGGAGAGUUGGUAUUGACUGACGAUGCUAAAAAUUAUGAUUUUUGAGUUGUUGUUAUUGGCAACAAACUGAAAAGAGUUUGAGGCACACUGUAAAUGUUGGGAGUUGAUGCAUAUGCUAAAAAUUUUAGGUUUAAGUGGUGCUCUGAACCAGCGGAAGAAACAUUUUCAACUCAGGUGAUUCUCUUCUCCUUUAAAUAGGAGACUGUAGCCUUUGGGAGCAUGAUUAUUCAUAAAGCGUUAUAAUUUAUCAUGACAAAAAAAAAGUAUGGUUACAAGACACAGGGCCCAAUAGUUUAUUUCUCUCCACUAAUCUCUUUUCUUUACAGAGAUCAGCAGUCAUCUAAGACAGAAGCUCACAUAUGUCAAUGCCUGUUCCAAAGACGGGAAAAUUUGGGUAAAGGAAGAAAACUUUGCCUAAGCCAGGCACAAUCUAUCUGUCCUGUUGCAGAAGCACAGGUUUUAUUAAAAUUAUUAAGAGGGAGUGGAUUGUAGGCCCAUAUUUUAUACGAGAUAUUUAUUUGCAGCCAAGUUCUCUGGCCAUGUUAGUUUCCAAGGCAGCUACUAUCCUGCCAGACCAUCUGUGGCUACCUAACAAAAGCCUCAGGAUGGACUGCUCCUUCUCUUUUUUUAUUAUGUAGAUCACCUGGGGAGAGGUGUGGACUCCAAGCUGGUGACUGAGUUGCAGGUGUGGUGGUACUCCCUCGUCCUUUGGAAAGAGAAUAUUAAUGAGUUUCCACCUUGGUUUACCUGGGGGAAUAAAAGAAUUGGAAGAAUAAACGUUGUUAUCUUCAGGAAUGAAUGAAGCCUGAAACUCCCUUCCGAUAUUGCUGUGUGAACUGUGUCUCAUAUCGGUCCAGUUAGGGGAAAGUAGUUUUUAUAUUGGGGCUUUGGACCCCAACAGACGGGUCUAACUUGUACUCUCUAAGUAGCCCAGGUUGGUCUCACACCUGGAGCAAUCUUUCUGCCUCUGCCUCCCAGGUGCUGGGGUUUAUACCCACCACCAUACCCAUCUGGAAUAAGUAAGAAGAUAUUGGAAGAACUUCUUUCUUUAACUGAGUGCUUCCAGAUUUUGAAGAUCUAAAAUAGAAAUGCAUUUUAUUUAAUUGUGGUAAGACACAUGCAUACAAUAUUUACCAGCUGGGCCACUUUCAAGUAUACCAUAUGCAAUGGUGUUGGAAGGAGUAACCGCCACCACCAUGAAAAUGCACAGAGAAAUUAGUCCAGAACUAGAAAGGCUAGUGUCUUUUUAAAAUUACAUUUACUUAGCUGGGUAGUGGUGGUGUACACAUUUAAUUCUUGUGUUCGGGAGGGCAAAGGCAGAGGCAGGCAGAGAUUUGUGAGUUCAAGGCCAGCCUGGUCUACAGAGUAAGUUCCAGGACAGCUGGUACUAUACAGAGAAAACCUGUGUUGAAAAGCAAACAAAACAAAACAAAAUUACAUUAUUUUGGGGUGUGGGCAGCUCAUGCACAGAUGCCACAACAAGCAUGUGUAGGUCAUGCAAUAAUAUUACCAGGGUCACUUCCCUCCCUCCACCAUAUCCCAGGGACUAAGCUCAAGCUCAGGCUGUAAGGCUACGCAGCAAAUGCCUUCAUUCACUUGGUCAUCUCUAGCUCCACUCCUAUCCUUGCCACAAGUAUGUUUCAUGAUCCAAACCAAAAUGUUUGCUUAGAGUUUUUCAAUUUAGAUUAAUUUACUAAAGUAGUAUUAAUAUUAUGCCAUACAUUCAAACUGUUUUUCCAUAGGUAAAAUUAAAAUCUAUGGCAACUAUUUAAAACAUUUAAAAAAUUGGCAUUUCUUACCCAUUUCUUUCAGAGCCAUUGGAAAUGACAACCAGCACGGGAAGGUUCAAGCAACCCAGUUUGGUGCCCAUUGUUUUCUGAGACAGACAAGAUGCCACCAGUACGAGCAACAGAAAAUAACCACAUCUGCAUCUCCCCAGUAUUAUUUUCUCUCUGAACAAAACAUGAGGCACACAGCUUUCCUGUGCAAUGACUAGAAUUGUGCACACCCUCUCACUGCUCUGAGAAUGGACUUUUGUUUUAGGCAGAUGUAGGCGAAUCAGAAUGCACAAAGGCCCACAUUUUAAGGCUGAGAAUUGAACGUGACAAAGGGGUUUUUCUUCUAUUAGCCAGGAGACCACAUGGGUUAACAGGACCUGAAAUCUCUCAGUUGUCUCUGUUUCAGAAGUGCCUGAACACUAGUACUCUGAAUACUCCUGCUGGGGCUAGAGAAACAGGAGGAAGCUGAGAGAUCUCCAGGUCUCCUAUGUCUCCCAUGACAUUGUAGCAGCUAGUUCAUCAAAAGGUCUGGACCACUGUUGUCCCAAAGACACGUGUUGAGGGGGCUAGAAACUUCUCUUAAGGAGGGGAGGCCUUACCCCAUUCUUAGAGGGACACUGAAAAGCCUGGUUAUUAAGGGAUGCUGAGGUCCAUGUUCCAGAGGCUCAUUGUAGAGGGAACAUCCAAGUUCUUCCCACCCAGCCUCACGCCUACUUCCCACGAGACUGAAUUCAUUCUGAUUUCCAAGGGCUGUCUGUGGAAAACCUCCCCACCAUCACAGCCCAGGAACUAGCACACCUCUGCGAGUCCAUCUCCCCUGUUCAGCACACUUUCCCGCUCAUGCCCUUUUCUAAAUGAAUGUGUCUGAGUGAGUGUAUAGCAUGUUUGUGGGGAUGGCAGCAUAUGCCUGAAGAAGAGGUUGGUUUCCCUGGAGCUGGAGUUACAGCAGCUAUGAACUCAGGUCUGCUGGGGGAGCUCUUCACUGCUCUUAACUAAGUCCUCUUAACUGCUGACCCAGCUCUUCAAGUCCUAAUGAACUUUUAGUGUGGGUGUGUGUGUGUGUGUGUGUGUGUGUGUGUGUGUGUGUGUGUGUGGGGAUGUGGAUCAUGACCUAGCUAGCAAAAGUGGGUCACUGAAGGAAGGGCCUUGAAAGGCUCAAGUGUUUCUGGUCUGGGCAAAGCUAUCUCUACUCCCUAACCCUCUAACAUACAAACAAGUUCCCAUGGUCACAGAUGGAAGCACCCUGGCUGCCUUGCCUUCAUCACUUAAAACUAUGCAUAGAUGCUAUGCCCACUCAUUAAACAAUAACUCCAUUGCCAUCUCUCCUAGCUUUUGACAGUUGCCAUUUUGCUUUCCAUCUCUAAAAGCCUGACUGUUUCAAAUAGCUCUUAUGACUGAAAGCACAUCUCUCCCCUUUUUACUUGUUUCUCUUAGCAUGCAGUGCUCCUGCUUCAGUCUAGGUCGCAGUAUAGACAGUCAUGGUGCGCCAUGUAUAUCCUAUUGCUGCUAUCCAUUCGUUAAGGGACAUUUGGGUUGUCUAGUUUCACAUGUUGGUUAUUGUGAAUAAUACUGUUAUAAACGUGAGCUUCUACUUCUUUCCAGAUAUUUGCCCAGAAGUGAAAUUGCAGAAUAUGAUUUUUUUAAUGUUUGUGCCAUUUCUGCAUCAUUUUACAUAGUAGUUGCAGCUGUCUACACUCCCUCUAAUAGAGCACAAGGAUUUUAAUCUCUCCAUAUUCUUACCAGUGCUUGAUUUUAUUUACUUAUCUCAUUUCUUUCUCCCCCCUUUUUUCUUUUUUUUAAUAAAAAAUUAAUUAUUA